rnacentral:rRNA from 1 species
GGAAUAUUGCACAAUGGGCGAAAGCCUGAUGCAGCAACGCCGCGUGAGGGAUGACGGCCUUCGGGUUGUAAACCUCUUUUGGCAGGGAAGAAGCGAAAGUGACGGUACCUGCAGAAAAAGCACCGGCUAACUACGUGCCAGCAGCCGCGGUAAUACGUAGGGUGCGAGCGUUGUCCGGAAUUAUUGGGCGUAAAGAGCUCGUAGGCGGUUUGUCGCGUCUGCUGUGAAAUCCCGAGGCUCAACCUCGGGCCUGCAGUGGGUACGGGCAAACUAGAGUGCAGUAGGGGAGACUGGAAUUCCUGGUGUAGCGGUGGAAUGCGCAGAUAUCAGGAGGAACACCGAUGGCGAAGGCAGGUCUCUGGGCUGUAACUGACGCUGAGGAGCGAAAGCGUGGGGAGCGAACAGGAUUAGAUACCCUGGUAGUCCACGCCGUAAACGUUGGGCGCUAGAUGUGGGGACCAUUCCACGGUUUCCGUGUCGCAGCUAACGCAUUAAGCGCCC